rnacentral:misc_RNA from 1 species
GAUGAAGAACGCAGCGAAAUGCGAUAAGUAAUGUGAAUUGCAGAAUUCAGUGAAUCAUCGAAUCUUUGAACGCACAUUGCGCCCCCUGGUAUUCCGGGGGGCAUGCCUGUUCGAGCGUCAUUUCACCACUCAAGCCUCGCUUGGUAUUGGGCAACGCGGUCCGCCGCGUGCCUCAAAUCGACCGGCUGGGUCUUCUGUCCCCUAAGCGUUGUGGAAACUAUUCGCUAAAGGGUGUUCGGGAGGCUACGCCGUAAAACAACCCCAUUUCUAAGGUUGACCUCGGAUCAGGUAGGGAUACCCGCUGAACUUAAGCAUAUCAAUCAGCGCUGGA